rnacentral:rRNA from 1 species
AUGCCGAGGCCAUGGAGGCAGGUGCUGGCGUCGGCGACCAAGUGCUGGAGCGCGGAGGAGGACGAGGAGGCCGCGGACGCCCGGAACUACCGCCCGCCCAACUCCGAGUUCUCGCGCCGGCUCGCCUCCUUCCGGCGCCUAUCCGCCAUGGCCAACAGCCCCGCGCCCACGGACGGCAAGGAUGACGAGGACAACGCCGACGGUGCGGGGGAGAUGGGGGCGGUCCCCAUGCGGCAGCUGCACUCCUUCAGCCUCAGCGAGCUUCGUGGCGUCACGCACGACUUCUCCAGCGGCUACCUCCUCGGGGAGGGCGGGUUCGGCGCCGUCCACAAGGGUUUCGUCGACGCCGGCAUGCGGCCCGGCCUCGAGCCCCAGCCCGUCGCCGUCAAGCAGCUCAACAUCGCCGGCCACCAAGGCCACAGGGAGUGGCUGGCCGAGGUGAUCUUCCUUGGGCAGUUCCGGCAUGAGCACCUGUUGAAGCUACUUGGGUACUGCUGCGAGGACGAGGAGCGCCUCCUCGUCUACGAGUUCAUGCCGCGCGGCAGCCUCGACAACCACCUCUUUAAAAGGAUAUCCGCGACGCUGCCAUGGGGCACCAGGCUCAAGGUCGCCAUCGGCGCCGCCAAGGGCGUUGCCUUCCUCCAUGGCGGCAAGCAGCCCGUCAUCUACCGAGACUUGAAGGCGUCCAACAUCCUUCUCGACUCGGAUUUCACGGCGAAGCUGUCAGACUUUGGACUGGCAAAGUUGGGCCCUGAGGGGGAGGAGACACACGUGAGCACCCGCGUGAUGGGCACCCACGGCUACGCGGCACCCGAGUACGUGCAGACGGGCCACCUAACGGUGAAGAGCGACGUGUACAGCUUCGGCGUGGUGUUGCUGGAGCUCCUAACAGGCCGCCGGGCAAUGGAGCACGUCCCUGGCCGCACUGCACGCGCUGAGCAGACCAUCAAGCUCGUGGAGUGGACCCGGCCCUACCUCGCUAGCAGCCGCCGCCUGCGCUGCAUCAUGGACCAAAAGCUCUCGGGCCACUACUCCGUCAAGGGCGCCCGCGCCAUGGCGCACCUGGCAGUGCGUUGCACGAACCCACAGCCCCGGGACAGGCCAAGCAUGGCUGUUGUGGUGGAGGAGCUCGAGCAGCUGGAGGGGCUCAAGGACAUGGCUGUCAGCAUGGGCCUCUUUUGGCCCACGGCUCCCGCUGCCGGGAGAAACGCACUCUCCGCCAAAUUUCGGGCCGAGAUGAAGGGCGCCGGCACCGGCGCCGUCCCGCGGCGGAGAACCGCGUCUGCCAACCUGUCGUGA